UCUUAUAACCCCCAUUUAGAUGUUGAAAACCAUUUGAAUAAGUACUGCACUAAUGGACCAAUGGUAUUUUCCAUUCAACAAGUAGCAGAGCUGCAAGAGGAGAAGGAAUACGAAGUGCUGGGGCAAAGGAAGUACAGCCAUCUCCUCCCUGCUGCAUUGGAUGUGGAGCAAAGAAGCCACCUCGUACUGAAUGACCGUGCAAGGCCGGUAAUUGUUACCCACUCUUAGACCAUAAGAAUGGAUCUAUGCAGCUAAUGUCUAUUUUAAGUGCAGAGGAAUGCUGCGGUCAUGCUGAUACCACUCUGUAGACACUGCUGGCAAGUGAUAGCAUGACAUUUAAUGGCAAUUACUGCAUGUAUAGAAAUGAUACUUGCCACUGGAAAGCAGUCGCUGUAGGAAUGUUGCUCCUGCUCUCACAGUUGCUCUAAGCUCUAUUAGAAACUGGGUUUUCCCCAUUUUUAUCCCAACAUUUGUGUAAUUUUAGCUUCUAUAUUUUGGAAAAUACUGCCCUAUAUUUCUGGCUCACCCCUAAGUUAUCUGAAGUAGAGCAGUAUGAAUUCAAGCAGAAGAAGGCAGAAUUGUCUCAAAAUAACAAGCAGAUUCCUUUUAAUGCAGUGGAAGUGGUUCAUACAUUAUUUUUGCAUGAAUCAGACAUUUAUUUUCUAAGGAGAGACAGGGUGGGAGGAGGAGGGAAAAGUCUUUUUACUUAAAUCCUCUCACAGUUCAAUGCUGAAUAUCACCUUCUAGCAACAAGGCAGCAUACGCAAGGCUUCUUGGUUAUUCUGCUGCUGGAGAUUAGCUGUUUUGAUUCAUGAGGGUGUGUUACCUCACCCCAAUUACAGAGCUACAGUGGAAAUGGUAAAAACAGGCAGUGUGAAGGAAGAAAGGGAACUUUCCUAGCGUUCACUGGUCAUUCACAUGAGCUGCAUGGGCAGGAUGAUAUCACUCAGUUGCCAAGAACAGAAAGCCAGUAGUAGAAAAUGAACAGUUAUGAAAUGAAAGGAGUCCUACAGCUGCUAGAAGAGAGAAACUGGCUUCCUUUUGUGCUCUGACCUUUCUUUGUAUCAUACUUUCAACCGUAGUGCCUUACAGACAAGAUGGCACCAACUAAACCUAAAAAAAAUGACUAACUGCCAAGAUAAUUCAAAGAAUAAUGAAGUUACAACAGCAGCAAAGAUGCAAAGAAAACUGAUGUGUUAUCUCUUCCUGGAGCUCACCACAAAAGAAUAAAAUGCUUCAUCUUUAAAAUGAAUGGGUCUAAAAUUUGUGAUCGCAGCUCUGCUUAUCAGGACGUGCUGAUGGAUUGGAUUAUGUGGCAGUCACAUGGAGGAGCCUUUGCUCAUGUUUGAUUUUAUAAAAUUCGUUCUUUUCUGUGACACUUUCAUACUUUGGGGAAACUUGUUUGUUGAUAAGUACUUGAAUUAACCUUUUAAAUAGAAGGAAUGUCUGCAAUAAGUUCAGCUUUCUAUUAAGACAAAUCCUGGGACUCACUUGUGACUCGGACUGCAGGAGGAGAAAAGUCAGAAAAUUUUCUUGUAGUGCUGCACAUGUUAAGCAGGCCUUGGACCUGGGCUGCUCCUCACAACAGAUGUGUGAGGAGGUCAGAGAGUGGGUGCGGACUUGGCUCCUGUGCUGCUUUGGCCAUUGCCACUGAUCCUCGAAAGUUCAAGACCUACCCCUGUGUGCUGGUUUUAAAGAAACACCUGUACGGAGCAGGAAAAGAUCUGCACGUGCCAGUUGCAUCAAAGAAAUGUCCCUUUUGCAUGCAUCCCUAGGGACCACAGCUCACAUAUGCUAUUACGGCUGCCCUGGUGUAGCCCUAACGGUUUUGUUGUGUCCCUGGCUGAAUACCAGUGAAGGUUAAUUCCCAUCAGUAUCACAGUGUUUCUUACUCAGUUAUGUGGAGUCUCAUGAUGCUGGUUUUCUUUCUAGGUGAUAGAAUAAUGAUAUUAUAUGAAAGCCUUUGCUUCCAAGGACUGUAGGACAGAACUGUAUACCCAUUUGAGUAACCUAUAGGAUAUACAGAGCACUAUGCCAUUGAAUAAUGAUGUGGAUUAUAAGCAUGAAGUUUCUUACUAGAAGACAGCUAGGAUCACUUCUUGCAAUAUAAGUACCACUGAAACAAGCCUCUGUUUCCCUUAUCUUCUUUUGGAGCUCUUCUACGCUUGCUUGCCCAGAUGCUGAAGCAGACAGAAAUUCAUCAAAUAACUUCUUGUCUUCAGCUCUGUUUCAUGAAUAUUGCUCAUCUUCUGAGCUGAGCAUGUUUGGGAGACAAGACAAGGGAAGUUUUCUGAAAAAGUCAUCUUAGAAGCCCCAAAAAUAUGGCAUCAAAUGCAAGAAAACCAAACGUAUAAUUUCCGUGCUGGUUUCAUGGUUUUUUUGGACAAACUCUUCAUUUUCAGAUUUUAAAGUUGACAGCAUAUAUUCUUUCACUGUGUACCCAGGUAUUUUCUCCCUGUUUUUUCCCCUGGGUGCUAGAUACAAGAACAAAUCCAAUACACUGAUUAUAGUACCCAGCUUUCAAAUAUAGAGUAGAAAAGAAAGAGGAGCUGGUGAAAUUCCUCUCUUCAGCCUUUAUUACCAACUUGACUAGCACUCUUCGCAGUCCUUACAUUUGAGCAUCCUUUCUUCAGUGGAGUAGUUGAAUCAGAGGUGGAAAAAUGACAGUAGCCCAUCAGGCAUGUGCUGGACAGCGUGGCUACUGUUGGAGCAACACUGCCUUGAUUCCCAGCCAACGGCUAGAAGAAGCAAUAAAAACAGCCAAAAAAUUGGUCUAUUUGUAGUGUCUGUCAGCAGUUUAUGAAAAUCAUACUUUCCCUGAAUCAUUUUACCCAUUAUAUUACAGCUUUGACUCAGCAGUUCUGUAAGUCCAGUAGCCACACGAAAUAAUACUAUUUAACAAGAUACAGCCUGAAUCACCUAAUCCAUAGACAGCCAUGUCUGAGGAGAUGACAGGUUUAAGUGAUGAGUCUUCUUGCAUGUGUACACCAUUCCUUGGGAAUCCAUCGCUUUGAUUUAAAAGGUACAUUGUUAUUGGUUUGAUCCUUCCAACAUGUGCUGAAGUUCUGUGUCUUUUGCUGCAAAGGAUUGCUUAGCAGUUUUUACUAAUGCUUUGGAGGCAAAUUGCUUUCCUAUGUUUUAUAUUACAAACACUUGUUUUGGUCUGGUUCUGUGAGGAAUUGUGUAGUUUAGGCUGCCAAUUAAAAUCAUGGUAAUGGAAGGCAUGCUGAAUCUCAUAGAUGUGCAGUGCUAUUGCAAGAUUGGCCUCAGUAAAGACUGUGGAUACUCUGAUUGCGAGGCUUAUACCAAUGAAUCUUGAGCUGCAGUACACCAGGCUGGCAGAACUCAAAGGAGCAGUAAUUUGUUCUGUUGGGUACCAAAGUCAAAAGAUAUCAAUUUGUAUUUAUUUCGCUAUGAGUAACCUGGUGCCUGUCACUUUCUUAGACACAAAGUGGAAGAUGUUUGAUUCUGAGCACUUGAGAUGUUCAUACAAUGUGCUUUAAAAACUCAGGAAUUUAUUGUGUUCAUAAGACAUCGUCUUCCUCAUUCACUACUUAUUUAAUAUAUCUUUGUUGGUAGGACAGCAUAUUUAACUAUUCAUUAAAAUGUUGUCUUUUAGUAAUGCUUAAGCAAAGCUUUGAGCUCCAUAUCAGCACCAUGUUUGUGUGCACGUCCCAGUGUUUGUAGUGGAUAGGAGCAGGCAAGAGUGUUUGCUUUUAUACAUGGGUAAACAUCUAAUUUUCUGCUUCACACUAAGCAGUGCAUAUGCUAGGCUGUGCAUUCACCAUUACUGAAGUGUGUAUCUGAAAACCAAGGCCUUGGCCUUUUUUGCACCCUGAAAGCCUUUAUAAUAUUUCUUGUUCACCUCAAUAAACAUCCUGCUACCAGUUAUUACUUACUACCCAUUGCACAUCUGCAAGAGGCAGUUAAGUUCAAACUCAAGGAAAGUAGGGACCAUUCUAUGGUACUCUGUGUAUUGGAUUUUUUUUCUUCUUCUUCUUUUUUCUUUUUUUUUUUUCCCCAUGGCUACUAUGUAAUUAAGAAGUAAUUAAGAAGUAAGCAUUCAGGAAGGAGAACACUCUGCAUGAGUCUAGUUACAUCAUUUAUAAAUGGCUCAAUGCUGGCUUACCCCUUCUCUGGGGUAGCAUGUGGAGAGAUCACGCACCAAAACAAGACCUUUGGGUUCAUGGGACUUAGAGACUGUUAUAGAAAAGUCCCUGACCUUCUAUUUUGUACUUCUGUUUCAACUCUGUCUUGUAUCCAUGAGGAAAAGCCAUUUUUUCUACCAACACCAUGCCUCAUAUAUUGCAACUCACAUUACCAUGAAACAAGACGACUUGAUUCUACUUACAGUUCCAUCAAAGAAAGCUAAGAGCUACCUGGAUAAGCUGAAAGUAAACUAAAGCCAUGGUUUGAAUAUCUUUUUGAGGAAUCACUCUUCCUGCCUGGGAGCCAAAAGAUAAAAUGAAAACAAACAGAAAAUGGCUGGUAGCUACUGUUACUUGGUUAUGACCUUUGCAAAGGAAUGCAAGUCAAAGUGCCAUCCCAUAUUUACUUCCAGCUCAGUUGCAUUCCAGCAGUGGACAGCACACUCUGCCCAUAUGCAUGAAGCUUACCAGAAGCCAGACAUCUCCCAGGACAAUGGCAUGUUUGUCCCAUGCAGGAUCGCAGUCUAUGUGCAAGGUCUGUGAUGUCCUGUCUCUGAACAAUAGCCAGAACUGUGACUAUACUCUUUGCAGUCAAAGUCUUUUAGCUGUAUUAUUAAAGUUUUAUUAAUAAUAAUAAUAAUUAAAAAAUCAUCUAAUUAAUGUCAGAUAUCUGCAAAAUAUGGAUUGCAUACAUGUGAGUAGAUUGGCUUCUCUGUCCAUAAUGUAACUUAGUAUUUAUGCUUGCAAAGCUGCGUGAGAGUAAUCUUUGAUCCAUGGGUGGCAUUCUGUAUCCAAACUUGCAAUACAAAUAAUAUUUAUAUUUUCAGUCAAGUCAUUUAUGACUAUCUGACAUUAAAGGAAAGCCAACAAGAUAAUAGUUUAAAAAAGUAACAUUCACAACUUUUUUUUUCCCCCUAGAAAUUGCAUUCAUGUUGCCAGGCUCUCUUUCAAACAGAUUGUUUUGUGAGUUCUAAAACCUAGCAGCUAAUUUCUUACAUAUUCAUAGUACAAAACAACAUACACUUUAUCUGGACUCUGCCAGACAACUGAAUAACUGGAAUUUUUGCUGAAGAUGUAGAGAAAAACUUUGCAUGUAACAUUUAAUAAAUGAUUGGUUUGUCCUAUUAACCCUUUCUUAGUUCUUUGUUUAAAGUUGUCAAGUUAUUCAUAUAUUUUCCCCUAAAUGGUAAGUAUUUUUUCUCAUUAAGAUUGAUUUCCUCAAAUUGUUUUGCACAUUACCAGACGAUUUUAGGUAUUAAGGAGUCUAUUUAAAGGCAUGAAGAGACAGACAGCUGCCUGCAUCAUGUAAAAGCAAAUAACAUUUUUCAGGGAAUGAUGUGGCCGACAGCCAGAGCAGGUGGUUAGCUGAGGAGGAAAGGGCUGGGCCAGGACAUGGCUGGGAGGGUAGAGGAAGGUAGUACAGGAAGUUGUGUCUGUCGAUGACUCAAAAGUGGAAUUCACCUCCCGGAGUCACUGGUGAAUGUCUGCCAGAGCUGUGCUAGGGCACACUACAGGGCAGGAGACUUUAUGUGCAUGACAUAGAAAACUAGAUCUUGGCCAUUAAAUAUGAAUAUAUGAACCCCCUGCCUUUGUCAGAAAAGUAAGAGCAGUAACCCUGAUAUCCUGUCUUUGUUUUACUUCGUAUUUUUAGAUUUUGUCUAUGUAAAAUCAUCCUGAAGCAUAAUGUUUUUUCCUGUCCCAAUACUUACUUUUUUUUUUUUUUUUUUUUUUUUUUUUUAGCUUCUAAACAUUAACAAGUUCAGAUAUAGAAAUGUCUAAGAAGUUAGUAAACCUACAUGUUUCUCACUGAUCACAUUCCCUGGACCUCUUGGAAGGUCUGAACGUAGCACCAUAGCUCCACAGCCACAGAUGUUUUUUGAGACCACAUAGUGGAAGUAUACUCAUAUGUAUGUGUAGAGAAAUAAACACAUAUGUAGUUGAUAGAGAUGGAAACGAUGUAGAGGUAGGUGCAUGAGGGCUGCUCUGAUAGUAAUCCUCCUAUGUUAUUAUGCUGGCCCUUGACAUCAGAGAUGGAUGUGGUGGUGUGGAAGUAGAGGUUGAAUCUUCUCACCAAUAUCCUAUUACUCGAUGCUUUGAGAAAAUGGCAGCAGAGGGACAGUCUGACAGAAUGGCAUCUGACAUGCAUAUGCACACAUAGCAAAGGUAUGGAAUUGAAUUCCUCCAUGUGGAAAAAAUGGCACCCAUCAAUAUUCAUUGACACUUGCUGAAUGUUCAUGGAUACCAAACAGCAACUGUCAGCACAGUGAAAGGUGGACUGCAUAGGCAAAGUUUUACUAGCAACAGCACUGUCAUAGCAGCUGUGAAAAAGUUGGUCACCUCUGCUGGUGCAGAUUGUAAUGAAUGCAGCAUGCAGACUUUUGUUUAUUGCUGACCAAAAAAAAAAAAAAAAGCAUAGUUAACGGUGAUGACUACAUUGGAAAAUAGCAUUAUGUAACUGAGAAAAUGCUCUAUCAAUUAGUGUUAUUGUGAUCUUUGUACCUCCUGUAGUUUCCAUGGAAAUAAAUAGAAGGCAUUACUUUCGGAGCAACCUACAGAUGUAGGUUGAGAUGUAAGAAUAAGCACUUCUAGUGGAAAAGCUAAGUCAUAGGCAGACACAGCGAUUGAGCACCUGGUGGGCAGGCAGGGCCAAACCAGGGGAGCUCAGGUGCAUGCAAUGUAUCUGAGUGACCAGGAGGGCUGGAGCCAGGAUCCACCCCUUCCCAGAACUCAUUUAAGGAUUGGUAGGGGAAGCAAAAGUAUCUUGCUGGAGAUCCUUGUCUACCUGAGGCCUUUUGAAGGUAAGCAGAUUUUCUUUCUCUCUCUCCAUGGCUGCUGCAAUUGGACUUGUUCUCAAUUGCUGCAGCCUAGGACUUUGCAAUCUCGCUAUUGUUGUGCUUUCUAUUGCAUUAUAGUGUUACACAAUAGCAUUAUAGUGUUACAGCACUGAUAAGCUAUCCUGAUCAGAAUUUGAAUCUCAACUAUUGAGCAGAGGGGGACAAUUACUUCCCUCACCUUGAUGGCUAUGCUUUUUUUGAUGCUGCCCAGAGUACAGUUGGCUUUCUGCUCUGUGAGCACACAUAACUGACUCACAUUCAGUUCUUCAUUUGAGCAUUUUCUUAUGAGUGAAGUCUACUUGUGUUUUGCUUUAAUAGAAAGCAUACAAAAUUAUAUGAUUCCACAUUCCUACAGCUACUACAAUAUAAUGUUACGAAUAAUGUGAUGGAAGCAGUGUGUCUGUGAGCAAGGCUUGUGUGAGGGCACGCUCAGAGUUACAAACACAGGUACCUAGAUCGUGUGAGUAAAAAGCUUGUGGCAUUGACUGCAAAGCUAUGAGCUGGCUGAAUACCACAGUAUUGUUAGGCUUUCAGAAUGUACAGGCUGUCAGAUAGUUCUCAUCUGUCAUCUUGAAGGGGUCUCAGAUGGAAUCUCAUAAUGUCUGAAGAAUAUCUUUCAGCUGGAGUGAAAGCAUCCAUGAUGUGACGCCUUCUACCUGAAAAGAAAGAACUUAGGAAGGGAAAUGAGAAAAAAAGGCCCUCUGUCAAAACCAUGAGUAGUUUAGUGUUACAAUGGAAAAUAAUAUCAAAACGGUUAAAAGAGCACUAAAUUUUUUCCAUCACACAGAUUUCAGUAAUCAUGAAUCAUACCAUUUUGCAAGCAUACAUUUGGCAUUAUUUCUUUCAGUACUGAGCGCCCACAUUGUCUGAGCAUAUGACACUUUGCUUGUCAAAGGUCCUCAAAUUUCUUCAAACAAGUCAAUUGGGUGACAACACAAUUGGCUAAAGAAUAAGCACAAUUACAAUAGCAUGUUUAAUAUUGUUUUAUGAUUGCCUUCUACUAAAAUAGGAUCUUAAGAAAGCAUGACAAUACUAACAAUUGUAAUUACUAGUUUAGCUGGACACAGUACAACUGCUGGAACAGAAAGGGAGAUCACUUCCAGGUGCAGUGAGGCAUUGCAUUUCUUACUGCUUUGGGUGAAAUGGAGAUUGCAUGUGUCUCAGAAAUGUUGCAUACAAAACUAUAGCGGAUUUUCUGAAAUAAUGCUGAAACCAAAUGUUUUUGCAAGUCAGUGUUUUUAACAAGUAUGGGAAGGCAGUGGUGGUAAUUUCACCAAGCAUAUUGUGUUACUUAUCUCUACACAAUGACUCAGUAAAAAAAAACGGAGCAGCUCUGGCCUUAGUGGAAGCAGUAUGUAAUACCCAUACCCCACAGUGUCUCUGCAAGUGUUCUGGGAAAGUCUUAAUUGCAGACAGGAGCGAGGGUAACUAAAGGAGUUACAGACUGUUUAAAGGAUGAUAAUGAGUUCUUAUACGCUAACAGCUCAUGUAAGACUUCUGGGGAUGAGGGACUACAGGGAAAAUGAACUCAUGGAUGCCUGCAGUACGGAAUAAAAACUUCCUAGACGUGAGGGAGCAGGGUGGAAAUGAUAAAAUUUAUUCAUUAUAUACUUUGCUUAUAUUAUCAUGGAUAUAUUAUUAGUAUCUUCAUGCUAAUUUUUGUCAUAAGUGAAUACCGAUAUUACAGCUUGCCAUCAGGGGCUCUGCUUUGCCUCUUGCAGCAGCUCUUGCAAAGCCAGAUUGAUUGGUGUGUGUGUAUUUCACACAUAAAUACAAAGGAAGAACAUCUUGUGUCAUGUUCCAGUACCUCAGGAGAUUAAAGGUUAUUACUGCCAGAUAAUCAGGUACGUCAAGAUGCCUUAGGUAACAAAUGGUAAUUGUGUUAAGCAGUAAAUCAUACAUAGACAAAUCAGGUAAAAUUAGAUAUCCAUUACGAGUGCAUUUGGCACCAAUCAGCCUUUUUCAUUUUUAUGAUAUAGCGCUAAAUUUAAUUUGCAGCUGUAUAGUGUUAUUCUCUUCUUUGUUAUUAUUGUGCUGUUAGAAGUUGACUUCCUGCUGGAAAAGGAGAUGAACAUCUGCAUGGUAGGCUGCAGGACUUGUCUUCUAUUUCUACAUGAGUGUUUUUAAAUCUCUUCUGUUUCACUUUCUUAAAAACAAUUAUCCAUCACAAAUCACCAAAACUCCAUGCUGUGCUGGAAAUUCCUCACCUGGAAAACCUGCAUUGAUACACCUGUUCCCACUGAAAUCCUUCUGGGCUGAGGAGGAUGGAUUUCCCUGAAGGCAGCCAAUUUUGGACCAAAGAGUAGUUCUGAUGAAGAAAGCAAGAGAUUAAAUCAAUUCAUUGGACCUGAAACUGCAUGAGUAGGUGAGGCAACAUUCCAGUUCAUCUCAUUUCCAAAAUACGCCUUCUCACACUGAAGCUCCACAGCAGGAUAUGAAAUCACAAACAUCACAUCAUCAGAACAAAUGCUCAUUGCAAGACUGUGAAGGCAGGACACCAUAAAUCAGCUGCUCCUGAGAGCUGUUGGGUUUGGACUUUUCUGAAGAGAAAUGAAUUAUUUUAUGACCUGUCAUUGUAAAAUGAACAUAAAGAAAAUAAAAAUAUAGCCACGAAUAAACUGUAAUUUAAUAACUAGACUUGGCCAAAAAGCAAGAAGUCCCCCCCAGAAUACUCCUGCAAAUGGGCCUUGAUUCAAUAAAAUACUGAAUCAUCGGCUUAGCUUUAAGUGUAAUUCCAUCUCAAUUCUACAAAUAAUUUAAGAACUUGAUUAAACUUAAGUAACUAUGUAUGUUUCUGUAUUGAAAGCAUCAUGUCUGUUUGCAUGCUUAAUUAAUCCAAUUCAGCCUCAGUCACAUCUCUCUAUGUGCUUGCUUGCAGCAGUUCACACAAGGGGAUCUCUAGCCACUCGAUUUGACUUAAGAUCCUUCUGAAGUUAUGCAAGUGAGUAUUUACACCAACUAUGCUUUGCAGACAUUAAUAAAGGUGGAUGUAUUUAUCCUGCACACUAAAUGAAAUAAAAAUAAAUGCCAUGCCUCUCAUUAU